GACGAACGCUGGCGGCGUGCUUAACACAUGCAAGUCGAACGAUGAAGAAGAGCUUGCUCUUCGGAUUAGUGGCGAACGGGUGAGUAACACGUGACUAACCUGCCCCUUUCUCUGGGAUAACGCUCCGAAAGGAGUGCUAAUACCGGAUACUCACAUCGAGGCACAUGCCUUGAUGUGGAAAGUUUUUCGGAAAGGGAUGGAGUCGCGGCCUAUCAGCUUGUUGGUGAGGUAACGGCUCACCAAGGCGACGACGGGUAGCCGGCCUGAGAGGGCGACCGGCCACACUGGGACUGAGACACGGCCCAGACUCCUACGGGAGGCAGCAGUGGGGAAUAUUGCACAAUGGGCGCAAGCCUGAUGCAGCGACGCCGCGUGAGGGAUGACGGCCUUCGGGUUGUAAACCUCUUUCAGCACCGACGAAGCGCAAGUGACGGUAGGUGCAGAAGAAGGACCGGCCAACUACGAGCCAGCAGCCGCGGUAAUAC
rnacentral:rRNA from 1 species